UGCGCAUGUGCGCUCAUGCAGCUGGCGGAGUGGCAGAAUCCUAACAGGAGGGGCUCGUGGGGCCCUCCCCUUCACCUCUAAACUAUGCUAUCGAUAGAUUCUGGGAGAGGGGAUCUUGUCUUUAGUGGCAUGCGUACUGCUGAACCCACCAAGCUAUCACGGAUAGUUUCAAACCCACAGUCACACAGAUGGCCUCGCGGCAAUCUCGGCGGGUCCCAAAACAACGUAGACAUGAGCAGUGAAGAACGUGCAUGGACUUCCAGGGAGCCUAUCUAUCUCUUCAACAACCUUUUCAAGAAAGCAUCCCCCCAGUCCUCCAAAGAGCCUUCUUCUCUCAUCUCAUUGGACGGAACUGGGUCACAUGACCGCUCUCCCACCGAGAGAGCUUGGGAAAAAAAUCCCUCAAAUCCCCGCUGCAUGUAGUGGUAUCCACUGCAGUCCAAACUGCUCAGGAAGCUGAGACUGGAAGAAGACCACUAGAGAGUCCGUACUGGGCAACAUAGUGAGACCUUAUCUGAAACAUAAAAUAAAAAAUAAACAAACAAAAACCAUAAUGGGCAUGUGAUCUGGUUUAUCACCAUGGAAGUUAGUAUGCCAGUUCCUCGAAGAAUUAAAAAUAGAACUGCCAUAUGACUCAGACACACCGCUGCUAGGCUGGCAUCCACCUGGUGCACCGAGUCAGCGUGCCACAGAGGCAGAGGCACGUUCAUGUUUAUUGCUGCAUUAGUCAUGAGAGCCAAGACAGAGAACCAGGCUAGAUGCUCGUCAACAAAGGAACGGAGGAAGAGAAUGUGAUGUGUACACAAUGGAAUUUUAUUCAGCCUCGAAGAGGAAUGAAAUCAUGACACAUGCUGGAAAGCGGAUGGAACUGGGCAUGAUCAUAGGCAAAAGAAGCCUCAGAAAGACAAGUGUGACGUGUUUUCCCUCAUAUGCAGAACCUAGAUUUAAAUCUGUGUAUACUUGCAUGUGUGUGUGCAUAUAAAUGUGUGUGUGCAUAAACACAUACACAUAUG